GGUAUUUUCCUAAAUUUUGAUUGCAUCAAGCUAGGUCUGAUUGGCUAGGGAAGUGGAUCAGGCUUAGAGAUCGGAAGAGUGGUGGUGGCUCGGAUAGAGGGCAAGGUCGGCAGGAUCUUCUUCAAACAAGAAGGUGAUUUCAUCGAUGGAGGUGUGGAUUCGGGAUUGGAUAUCGGGCUAGGGAGAAUGAUUUGGUCCUAGAGAGAUUUGCGGAGCAAGUCGUCGGGCAAGCGGCGAAAGAAAUGGAAGAGGGGGGAGGAGUUUCAGCUCAGAUGGGUUGAGGGCUUUGGAGUUGAGGUCAACGGGGUUCGAUCGUGUGUAGAGAUCGGAAGCUUACGGUUUGGUUGGAGAUUAGUGUCUGCGAAUGGAAGAGGGAGGUCGGAGGAGGCAAGGUUCGGAGAGAGCUACUUGUGUGUUGACGACCCAAAUUCUUCGUCUCAUUGUCGCUUUAAUAGGAACUUUUAUUACAUCCACUGAACGGACGCUCCUCUACGUUCGGUUUUAGACAAAAAACUCGGUACAACUCGGUACUCGGUACAAGCGCUUUUUUUGCCUAAACCAAACGUAGAGGAGCGUACGUUCACUGGAUAAAAUAAAAGUUCCUUUAAUAGACAGAUGGAAGCGCGAAAAUAGAGCAAAUUUGCAGGGUUUGAGCAAGAGUCGCGGAGAUGAGACGCAAACAACGCCGUUUUGUAAGAGGAAACACAGGAGGCACGUUAUAACCUUUAUAUGACUUGGAAGGUUUUAUCGCUAAUUUCUACAACAAUGUUAUUUGUUUUUAUUGGCGUUUUUGUAACAAAGAGAAGAAAUUCAAAAAUUAAGGUUUGAUUAUGUUUAAACUUAUUGUCAAAAUGUAUUGUGGGAAAAGAAAAUGUGCCAAAGCGGCAGAAGCUGUUGUAUUGCUUUGUAUGGGAAGCAGUAUCACAGUACUUUUGCAGUGUUAUUGUUGUAUUGUUGCUAAAUCCAUUGAUUUUUGAUGGUCUUUGUUUGU